rnacentral:rRNA from 1 species
UACGUAGGGGGCAAGCGUUGUCCGGAAUCAUUGGGCGUAAAGAGCGUGUAGGCGGCUCGGUAAGUCCGCUGUGAAGUCCAGGCUCAACCCUGGAAUGCCGGUGGAAACUGUCGAGCUAGAGUCCGGAAGAGGCGAGUGGAAUUCCUGGUGAGCGGUGAAAUGCGCAGAUAUCAGGAGGAACACCAAUGGCGAAGGCAGCUCGCUGGGACGGUACUGACGCUGAGACGCGAAAGCGUGGGGAGCAA